AAUGAACGCUGGCGGCAUGCCUAACACAUGCAAGUCGAACGAGACCUUCGGGUCUAGUGGCGCACGGGUGCGUAACGCGUGGGAACCUGCCCUUAGGUUCGGAAUAACUCCCCGAAAGGGGUGCUAAUACCGGAUAAUGUCUUCGGACCAAAGAUUUAUCGCCUUUGGAUGGGCCCGCGUUGGAUUAGCUAGUUGGUAGGGUAAAAGCCUACCAAGACGACGAUCCAUAGCUGGUCUGAGAGGAUGAUCAGCCACACUGGGACUGAGACACGGCCCAGACUCCUACGGGAGGCAGCAGUGGGGAAUAUUGGACAAUGGGCGAAAGCCUGAUCCAGCAAUGCCGCGUGAGUGAUGAAGGCCUUAGGGUUGUAAAGCUCUUUUACCCGGGAUGAUAAUGACAGUACCGGGAGAAUAAGCUCCGGCUAACUCCGUG
rnacentral:rRNA from 1 species